rnacentral:rRNA from 1 species
GAUGAACGCUGGCGGCGUGCCUAAUACAUGCAAGUCGAGCGAAUGGAUUAAGAGCUUGCUCUUAUGAAGUUAGCGGCGGACGGGUGAGUAACACGUGGGUAACCUGCCCAUAAGACUGGGAUAACUCCGGGAAACCGGGGCUAAUACCGGAUAACAUUUUGAGCCGCAUGGUUCGAAAUUGAAAGGCGGCUUCGGCUGUCACUUAUGGAUGGACCCGCGUCGCAUUAGCUAGUUGGUGAGGUAACGGCUCACCAAGGCAACGAUGCGUAGCCGCACCGAGAGGGUGAGCGGACACACUGGGACUGACACACGGCCCAGACUACUACGGGAGGAAGAAGUAGGGAGUCUUCGGCAAUGGACGAAAGUCUGACGGAGCAACGCCGCGUGAGUGAUGAAGGCUUUCGGGUCGAAAAACUCUGUUGUUAAGGAAGAACAAGUGCUAGUUGAAUAAGCUGGCACCUUGACGGUACCUAACCAGAAAGCCACGGCUAACUACGUGCCAGCCGCCGCCGUAA